rnacentral:rRNA from 1 species
AGCAGCCGCGGUAAUUCCAGCUCCAAUAGCGUAUAUUAAAGUUGUUGCAGUUAAAAAGCUCGUAGUUGAAUUUCGGGAUCAAAUUGUCGGUCGUGCCUCGGUACGAACUGGUAUUAUUGGUUCCUACCUUCUGAAGAACCGCGAUGUCAUUAAUUUGGUGUCGUGGGGAAUCAGGACUGUUACUUUGAAAAAAUUAGAGUGUUUAAAGCAGGCUUACGCUUGAAUACAUUAGCAUGGAAUAAUGAAAUAGGACGUUUGAUUCUAUUUUGUUGGUUUCUAGGAUUGACGUAAUGAUUAAUAGGGAUAGUUGGGGGCAUUAGUAUUCAAUUGUCAGAGGUGAAAUUCUUGGAUUUAUUGAAGACUAACUACUGCGAAAGCAUUUGCCAAGGAUGUUUUCAUUAAUCAAGAACGAAAGUUAGGGGAUCGAAGACGAUCAGAUACCGUCGUAGUCUUAACCAUAAACUAUGCCGACUAGGGAUCGGAUGAUGUUAAUUUUUUAAUGACUCAUUCGGCGCCUUA